rnacentral:lncRNA from 1 species
UAGGUCAAUCUACUCCUCAGGAGGCUACUGCCAGACACUCAGUGUUACAUCAAUGCUGUGUAAUAAUACUAGCCAGGAGAGACCAGACUCACUGUGCCUGCAGGCUGGGCCCAACAAACAGGCUCACAGGGCCGUGGAGCAGGGAUUGCUUUAAAAGGAGCAGUGUGUACAGGGAGUGGGGAUGCUGAGGGUGUUUUUGCACACCUACUACACUCAGGAAAGUGUCUUGUGGGAUGAGACAGGAAAAUCUAAGACCUCUGCCUCCGAAGAGCUUCACGUCUAGGAGAAGGCAAGGCCCUCAGGCACAAGAUAACAGCAGCAACCAACCUGGGCCCAAACUGGCAGCUCCUGGUUACUUGAGGAGUCCCAGCUCCCUUGGGCUCGCAAUGGCUGUAGGCGAGGGGCUGCUCCU